CCACAAUAUAGCUCAGUGGUAACAUAUGAGGCCCUGGGUUCAAUCCACCCCUGGUCAGUCCAUCAAGCCUUUUGAGUUACUCUAAGCCAUUUGUGGCUACCAUAUUUAAUCAAUAUUUUUUCAUCAAUCAAAGAAAUUUAUUGCAUACUGUCCCAGUUUUAUUUAUUUCAUUACUUUAUCAGAACUUUGCAUUUGUACUAUAUAUAAUAUAUACUGCAAGGAAGUCUGGAUAAGCCAGUCAGCAUAUCCCCCAGGGAUGGGUCUCAGGACCCCAGUCUAUUGUUUAUAUGAUGAUCUGCUAGAAAAGCUACUUCUCAGGUAAGAACCAGGACAAGUCACAGUUAUGCUAAGACUUACUUCCCAGCAUCCCUAGGGACUCUGUAACCAGUUCUCUUCUGUUUUUGCUUUAUCUGUCAGGGAAUGUUGAGCCAAAGUUCCAGCACAGUUGAAGUAGUCCCUUGGCUUGUAGAUCUGUGUGCUCAGUUCCUCUCUUCCCAGUCUCUGAGAACACCUGCCAGAAAGCCCUUUAGCUGGCUUUUCCAAAACACUUUAAUUUUCAAAAUAGUAAUUAAAGAACUCUCACUGAUGUAGUUGACAAAACCCUUCAGGCUUUUCAGUGUUGCUAGGGAAAUUCAGCUGGGAGUAUAUUUGUGUCUCAGUCAAGCUUUGUGGACAGGGUUUGCAUAAAGAGGCAAGAGGGUGUAUUGUGUGUUUUAGAAGAAGGGUCCUUUUAGGCAGCACAGAAUUGAAUUCAUAGCAGGUAUCCUUUCUUAAUGGAAAGACCAACAGACACACUGCCAUGCUUCCCUCCUUUCUGCUGUAUUCUGGAGUUUAUAUGCCGCUAUGAUACUAGCCCAUUUCAGGCCAAAAUGUAAAAAUAGGUUUAUAAAAAAUAAGGUUUAAGCCAUUCUCUUGAGCAGAGUUGGUGAAUAGAUUUGAUUUGGGGCUUUCUAGUUGCUAAAGCGAGAAAAGGAAAACACACAGUUUGUGUGUGUUGACAACCAGAAGCACAUGAAUAUCUGCAGAAACCAAACAUUUCCUGGAACUAAACUCAAGCAGAAAUGUGUCACGUGAACCUUUGUUUAAAGAGUUUAGUGAAAAAUAUCUUCAACCACAGUUACAUAACAGGUCCAGGACAGCGCGUGUGAAUUGGGUUCUCUAGGAGGAGACUGGGAGGCACAUGGUGUGUUCCUAGGCGCAAGGCAGUCUAGAUUGUAAACUCUCAACGAUUUCUCCAGCACCAUGGUAACCAUGCCUGCCACCAUGCUUCCUGACAUGAUGAAAAUGGACUAAACCCCUGAAAUUGUAAGCAAGUCCCCAGUUAAAUGAUUGCUUUCACGAGAGUUGCUUUGGUCAUGGUAUCUCUUCAUACCAAUGGAGCAGUGACUGACACUAGGGUACAUUUAUUUUCAAAAUUAAAAGCAUCCUAGCCUGCCAUGUAUUUCUCAUACAGACGUUAAUUUCCUACUACCAUAGUGCUAAAACAUGAGUAAAACAUGAGUAAAACAUGAGUGGGGUGUGUGUGUGUGUGUGUGUGUGUGUGUGUGUGUGUGUGUGUGUGUGUGUGCGUGUUUGCUUGCUUGCUUGCUUGCUUGCUUGCUUGCUUGUUGAUUGAACCCAGGACCUGUGUAACCAACCAACAUGUUCCCCCAGGGACAGUACUGAAGACCCCAGUUCAUAUGAGAAUCUGCUGGACAAGCAUGGCUAGAGAUCACUUUGUGAUUCACCAACACUGAGCCACAGAGCUGUAGGCCCUGCUCUUGCUUGGUUUUAUGAACCAGGUUCUUACUCUCUAAAUUCAAGUAGCCUUUGAACUUGCUGCAGUCCUCCUCUGCUGGCCUCCCGAGUGCUGGGUUACAGGUUUGUCUGCUGCUCCAGUCGUAUGAAGAGGGGCUUUUCGUUGUUGGUUGUUUUAGAUGAAGUCACAAUGCACAAUGUAUGGUUGUCGGCCACACUAAGAUCUCUCCUAGGCUUUGGUCUUGUAAUGCUGUGUUGCUGGGAUAUGAAGCCAGGGCUUCAUCAAUGUAAGUGCUGUGUUACGAGCUACAGUGCUGUUUUGUAUUUCAUUUUUGUGUGAUAAAGUUUGGACCUAUGUUUCCUAUCCUGGCUUUAUCAGUAUGGAGUUAUACUGAUAUUUAAGGAAGACAAAGACAGGUUUGUUUGUUUGUUUGUUUGUUUGUUUGUUUGGAGAAGGGGGUUUUUCUAUUAUGUAUCUCUGGCUGUCCUGGAACUUGCUGUGUAGAUCAGGCUAGUCUUAGACUCAGAGAGUCACCUGACUCCACCUCCCCAAUGCUGGGAUUAAAGACAGGUACCACCAUGUCCAGCUGCCCAAGUCCUGGGAGUCCAGAGCAAGCAAAGGCUUACAGAUUGGGGAUUGUAGAGGUUCUGUAUUAAAAGAUGGAUUUGCACAUGAAGAUGUUGGAAACAU
ensembl:lncRNA